GAAAAAAGGAAGGACAGGAACUAGCCUCAAUCCAGCCCAAUUAGCCUUCCCCCAAGUGCAACGAGGCCAAUGACAACCAAUGAUGGAGGCAGUGUUUACAAGGACCAAUCUCUUGACGGAUCAUUUAAAAACUCUUUAAAGAUUCAGGGAAACCACCCAGCCAGAAUGUUGAUAUCAAGACAUGAUGGAUCUACUGUGUCUCCAAGCUUUGGAAUCCCAAAGCCCAAAGAGGAAGUGAGGAGCCCCAGGUCCCACCAUUAGAUCCUCCCGGACCACAGUCACUCGAGGAAGCCUACCCCACACUUACAAAGACAAGACCUCACCACACAGCAUCUGUCCUCUUCAAGAUCUGCCCCCACCAAGAUGUGUCUCCAGACCAAAACCACAGUCAGAUUGAAGCACAGGCCAGUGCAGAGGAAAUACUGAACACAGAGGAAAAAAUGGCAAGGCCCUAAAUA